rnacentral:tRNA from 1 species
AGUUAAUGAACUUGAAUAAGUAAAUGUUUUGAAAACAUAAAAUAUUAGUAAAAUCUUUUAUUAACUA